rnacentral:rRNA from 1 species
UAAGCGGAGGAAAAGAAACUAACAAGGAUUCCCCUAGUAGCGGCGAGCGAAGCGGGAAGAGCUCAAAUUUGUAAUCUGGUACCUUCGGUGCCCGAGUUGUAAUCUCGAGAAGUGUUUUCCGUGCCAGACCGCAUACAAGUCUGUUGGAAUACAGCGUCAUAGUGGUGAGAACCCCGUAGAUGAUGCGGAUGCCUGGUGCUCUGUGAUACACUUUCGAAGAGUCGAGUUGUUUGGGAAUGCAGCUCAAAUUGGGUGGUAAAUUCCAUCUAAAGCUAAAUAUUGGCGAGAGACCGAUAGCGAACAAGUACCGUGAGGGAAAGAUGAAAAGCACUUUGGAAAGAGAGUUAACAGUACGUGAAAUUGUUGGAAGGGAAACGCUUGAAGUCAGACUUGCGCUUUGGAGUUCAGCCUCACGGUGUAUUCUUCGAUUUGCAGGCCAGCAUCAGUUUUUGGGGGUAAAAAAGGGUUUAGAGAAUGUGGCAACUCCGGUUGUGUUAUAGCUCUUGACUGGAUUUAUCCCUGGGGACUGAGGAACGCAGUACACUUUUUGCAAGUCUCUCGGGACUUUUUGUACUUAGGAUGCUGGUGG